rnacentral:rRNA from 1 species
GCUUUAUAGAUUGAGUGGAUUAAACCAAUUUUUUAGAAUAAAAGUAAAUUUGGAAGAUUUAUUUGGUUGGGGCGACAAAUGUAUAAUGUUAAAUAACUGCUAUUAAAUUUAAACAAUUAUAUUUGAUAAAAAUUUAAAUGAUCCUUAAUAAAGAUUAAAAGAUCAAGUU